rnacentral:lncRNA from 1 species
AAAAUAGAAGAUUAUGAAAUAGAAACAUUAGCUCUAGUAGACUCAGGAUGCACGAGAUGUAUAAUAAAUAAAAGGAUAGUUCCACCUAAUUUAAUAAAUACAUUAGAUAAGCCAGUAGCAGCCAUGCAAAUGGAUGGAACUCAUAUUAUUUAUAAACAUUAUAUAGAUAAAUCACAGAUUAGUUUUGUAAAUACAUGUUUA